GGAUUGCAACGUCCGUUCUGCACAGUUGGCAGACCCUGGUCUUUCGAGGUGUGGCGGGUCGAGUGAAGCUAAGCUCGACAAGUGUGGAGCCUGUGGUAGCUAAGGAGCUCCGAGCCGCCUGCCGGCUUCCUCCACCAGCUUGUGAGCUCUGAGGAUACAAAACACAAGAUGCAUAAUGUACUUGAGCCUCGCGCUUUUGUUGUUGUUAGGUUAUGAGGUAGGUUUCCUAUCCGCCUUGGAACCCAGGAAGACUGAGUCAAAGCUACACAGCAUAGUAAAUGAUAUAAAAAGUACAGACAUGUUUUCGAAAGCUGUUAGUGGUUUAAGUAGUAAAGAGCUUGGAAGACCUUGUCUUUGUAGGGUUGAAAGGCUUAGCAAAUAAAAUUAUAGGACUCAGGUAAAACUUUAAGAACUCUUUAAAUAAGACGCUAAACCCCUCCCCAUUUUACUUAAUUUGAAGAUUAAAUUUCGCCGAGAGUUUUAUUUCUAUUUUUAUUUCUUUUAAAACUCUUAA
rnacentral:lncRNA from 1 species